UUAUCAGGGUGAACAAAGCAGGGGAGUAACAGCAUCAGUAACUGUGAAACUCUAGGAGUUUGUCUUCAUUCUUUCAGUGAUAGACAGGGUCUCCCACUGUCACUUAGGCUGGAGCACAGUGUGACAACAGCUGACUGCAGCCUCAAACUCCUGGUCUUAAGUGAUUCUUCCCACCUCGGCCUCCUGAGUAGCUGGAAUUACAGGCAUGAGCCACGGCAUCCAGCCAUAAACUCUUUUGUCACCAUUUUUCUAGAGUCAAUAUCUAGCAUUUGUAUUUCGUACAUCAUACACUUGAGUUAAUAUCUGUGGAAAGGAUAAAUACAUAAGGAAAAGAGAUGCAGGAAGCUGCAGAGACACUGGCCAUUUAUCUGAGAAGUGCCCAAUGAGGCAUCACCAGAUAAGCACACGUUGGGUCGUUCUCCUGCUUCAGUAAGGUCUGUGGCGCUGACAUUAUCAAUGCUAUGGACGCCUCAAGGCUCUCAUAAAAAUACCUGGCUUCAGCAAUACGCAUGCAGUUAUCUCAGUUUAAAGGAAACGUGUUCUGCUCCCUGCUUAAUAAGAAAUCCUGCUUACUUCUCCAGCUUUUGAAGCACAGAUUAUUUUUCCUCUCUUCAUCAUAUAAAAAUGGAAAUUAUCAAAACAAAACAUCAUCAAAACAAAACAUCAUCAAAAACAGGUUGCUCUCUGAGUAAAGGUUUUAUCUUUGUUUGGGAUAGAAUCUCAUUCUGUCACCCAGGCCAGAGAGCACUGACAUUAUCAUGGCUCACUGCAA
rnacentral:antisense_RNA from 1 species